CAGCGAGGCAGGGCAGCGCACUCCCAAAUCCUGGCCCAUGUCCCUGUGGGGAGAGAGGACACUUGGGAAGUACUGGAGUGAGACACAGUCCCACAUGCCCCAUUAUACAGGAAGAACAUCAGGCCAUUUUCUUGGUCACUGGGAUUUGGACCACACAGAAAUGGUGACUAGAGAUGAAAAGCUUUUAAUCCCAUCAGUGGCUGUCAGUUAAUUUCUCACUUGUUGCACCUCCAGAGAAAGGGGAGGAUAAGGCUCACAAUCACUGAGCUGAUGAAUAUUUAUUUCACCUAGCACAAGUAAACGAAGACUUCAUUUGAGCAUGCUCUCUUGGAAAAGAAAAAAGCCUGCUUCCCUGGUGCUUCCGCAGUUGGCAGAGAAGAGUGGAAGAGGAACAAUUUCCCAGCACAUUCUGCAGCCUGUUCCAAAGACACCGCGUUGGAAUAAACCUUGGCACAGUUCUUACUGCAGGGUUAACAGGCCCAUAUUCACUCACUGGGGCUCAGAGAGCAGAGAACACUUUCUGCAAGCUCCUCACAGCUCAAGAACUCAUUCCCACCCUCAGCACCCGGCGCAAUGAGCCCCCAAACCAACGGGGGCUUUCCUGUCAGUGCAGUCCAGCACAGCUUCGCUGGCCGAGGCGUUCCAACAGCCCCUUCUCCUGAGGCAGGAGGAGAGCCCCUCUCUUGGAGACUUCCCACUGGAUACAGGCAUUAUGCAACAGGCAUCAAAAUAUAAAUACUCAAACUGCAUCAAAUUCAAAGGAAAUGCAGUUUAUCAGAAGAAUUCAGCUCAGGCACACCGGUGUUCCAUGCCUUUUUAUAAAUGGGUGACAAUUCCAUCCCUGCUGCAGAUUCCACACUGAAAUCUACACUGCAGGAUGCAGACACAAAUCAGAAAUCACCACCUUGACAAAACAUUCCACCCUGUGGCUUUCUGGGAACACCAGAAGUCUCUGCUCUGGCAGAAACACAACUGGAGGCAGCACCUGACCUUUAAAAUGGCUGAAAUUUCACCCCUGAUAUUUCAAGAACAGUUACUUUUGAUCACCAAUGCCAGUUUAUCCAGUUCCUUUGAAGAAGCCUUCUGCUGAAGGACAAAAGACUUCCCAAUACUGUUUGUCCUGAUAUGCAUCAGGAAAUAUUGACAUUGGUUUUAAUAAAAUUUCUGAGGUGUGUAUGUACUAACA